GACGAACGCUGGCGGCGUGCUUAACACAUGCAAGUCGAACGCUGAAGCUUGGUGCUUGCACUGGGUGGAUGAGUGGCGAACGGGUGAGUAAUACGGGAGUAACCUGCCCUUGACUCUGGGAUAAGCCUGGGAAACUGGGUCUAAUACUGGAUACGACAUGUCACCGCAUGGUGGUGUGUGGAAAGGGUUUUACUGGUUUUGGAUGGGCUCACGGCCUAUCAGCUUGUUGGUGGGGUAAUGGCUCACCAAGGCGACGACGGGUAGCCGGCCUGAGAGGGUGACCGGCCACACUGGGACUGAGACACGGCCCAGACUCCUACGGGAGGCAGCAGUGGGGAAUAUUGCACAAUGGGCGGAAGCCUGAUGCAGCGACGCCGCGUGAGGGAUGACGGCCUUCGGGUUGUAAACCUCUUUCAGCACGGAAGAAGCGAAAGUGACGGUACGUGCAGAAGAAGCGCCGGCUAACUACGUG
rnacentral:rRNA from 1 species